AGGAUGAUCAGCCCACAUUGGGACUGAGACACGGCCCAAACUCCUACGGGAGGCAGCAGUGGGGAAUAUUGGACAAUGGGCGCAAGCCUGAUCCAGCCAUGCCGCGUGAGUGAUGAAGGCCUUAGGGUUGUAAAGCUCUUUCCCGGAGAAGAUAAUGACGGUAUCCGAAGAAGAAGCACCGGCUAACUUCGUGCCAGCAGCCGCGGUAAUACGAAGGGGGCUAGCGUUGUUCGGAAUUACUGGGCGUAAAGCGCACGUAGCGGAUAUUUAAGUCAGGGGUGAAAUCCCAGGGCUCAACCCUGGAACUGCCUUUGAUACUGGGUAUCUAGAGUAUGGAAGAGGUGAGUGGAAUUCCGAGUGUAGAGGUGAAAUUCGUAGAUAUUCGGAGGAACACCAGUGGCGAAGGCGG
rnacentral:rRNA from 1 species